CGUCUAUAUACGUAUAGCAUAUCAAUAGCGGAGGAAAAGAAACUAAUCAAGGAUUCCCUUAGUAACGGCGAGUGAAGCGGGAAGAGCUCAAAUUUGAAAUCUUCAAGGUUUUACCUUGACGAAUUGUAGUUUAAAGAAGUGUUUUCUGUUAGAGUUGAGUAGAAAAGUUCUUUGGAAUAGGGACAUCAUAGAGGGUGAGAAUCCCGUAUUUGGUUAUUCUUUCUAGCUUUGUGAUACACUUUCAAAGAGUCGGAUUGUUUGGGAAUGCAGUCCAAAAUGGGUGGUAAAUUUCAUCUAAAGCUAAAUAUUGGCGAGAGACCGAUAGCGAACAAGUACCGUGAGGGAAAGAUGAAAAGAACUUUGAAAAGAGAGUUAAACAGUACGUGAAAUUGUCAAAAGGGAAGCGUUUGACACCAGUGUUGUUUUUCCGAAAAUCAAUUAAGAGUGGCUUGAUUUUGUGUUGUAUUGACCUUAUCAGCUUUCUUCACUCUUUUUCGAGUCUUUCUUAAUGCACUUUUCGGUUAACAAGUCAACAUCAAUUUCUUUUGUUGUAAAAGGGUAUUUGGAAGGUGGCUUUCUUUUCGGAGAAAGUGUUUAUAGCCUUAUACCUCUACAAUCGGAGAGAUUGAGGUCUGCAGCGUAGAUCCUUCGGGGCUAGAUACACUUGUGCUAAGUUAUAGCUUUUCAUAGACAACUUGUUGACUAUGUUUAGUCAUGUAGCUUACCCGCUUCGUGCUAUUUUACCUACGCUUAGGAUGUUGAGUCAUCACACAUCUCU
rnacentral:rRNA from 1 species